rnacentral:ncRNA from 1 species
CUUCUGGUACGCUCGUACCAGAAGUGCGGGGGACGGCGGAUCUGCCACCCGGCCCGCGCUU